GUGGGAGCGUGCCUUUAGGUUCGGAAUAACUCAGGGAAACUUGUGCUAAUACCGAAUGUGCCCUUCGGGGGAAAGAUUUAUCGCCUUUAGAGCGGCCCGCGUCUGAUUAGCUAGUUGGUGAGGUAAAGGCUCACCAAGGCGACGAUCAGUAGCUGGUCUGAGAGGAUGAUCAGCCACAUUGGGACUGAGACACGGCCCAAACUCCUACGGGAGGCAGCAGUGGGGAAUCUUGCGCAAUGGGCGAAAGCCUGACGCAGCCAUGCCGCGUGAAUGAUGAAGGUCUUAGGAUUGUAAAAUUCUUUCACCGGGGACGAUAAUGACGGUACCCGGAGAAGAAGCCCCGGCUAACUUCGUGCCAGCAGCCGCGGUAAUACGAAGGGGGCUAGCGUUGCUC
rnacentral:rRNA from 1 species